UCUUUGUUGAUGGGAGCUUGCUCCCAUCAAGCGGCGGACGGGUGAGUAACACGUGGGUAACCUGCCUGUAAGACUGGGAUAACUCCGGGAAACCGGGGCUAAUACCGGAUAACUCAUUUCCUCGCAUGAGGAAAUGUUGAAAGGUGGCUUUUAGCUAUCACUUACAGAUGGACCCGCGGCGCAUAGCUAGUUGGUGAGGUAACGGCCACCAAGGCGACGAUGCGUAGCCGACCUGAGAGGGUGAUCGGCCACACUGGGACUGAGACACGGCCCAGACUCCUACGGGAGCAGCAGUAAAAGGAAUCUUCCGCAAUGGACGAAAGUCUGACGGAGCAACGCCGCGUGAGUGAUGAAGGUUUUCGGAUCUAAAACUCUGUUGUUAGGGAAGAACAAGUACCGUUCGAAUAGGGCGGUACCUUGACGGUACCUAAUCCCCCAGAAAGCCACGGCUAACUACGUGCCAGCAGCCGCGUUUAGUAAUACGUAGGUGGCAAGCGUUGUCCGGAUUAUUGGGCGUAAAGCGCGCGCAGGUGGUUUCUUAAGUCUAUGUGAAAGCCCACGGCUCAACCGUGGAGGGUCAUUGGAAACUGGGGAACUUGAGUGCAGAAGAGGAAAGUGGAAUUCCAAGUGUAGCGGUGAAAUGCGUAGAUAUUUGGAGGAACACCAGUGGCGAAGGCGACUUCUGGUCUGUAACUGACACUGAGGCGCGAAAGCGUGGGGACAAGGAUUAGAUACCCUGGUAGUCACGCCGUAAACGAUGAGUGCUAAGUGUUAGGGGGUUUCCGCCCCUUAGUGCUGCAGCUAACGCAUUAAGCACUCCGCCUGGGGAGUACGGUCGCAAGACUGAAACUCAAAGGAAUUGACGGGGGCCCGCACAAGCGGUGGAGCAUGUGGUUUAAUUCGAAGCAACGCGAAGAACCUUACCAGGUCUUGACAUCCUCUGACAACCCUAGAGAUAGGGCUUUCCCCUUCGGGGGACAGAGUGACAGGUGGUGCAUGGUUGUCGUAGCUCGUGUCGUGAGAUUGACAUCCUCUGACAAAU
rnacentral:rRNA from 1 species